AUGAUUCGUGGGACGUCCUGCCGGUGGUGGCGAGUCGAAGGCGUGCACCCGUUGUGGUUUCCACUUCGGUUCUUGCGCGCCGGAGGCGGACCCCGAUGAAAUCCUACCGCGGUGCUCUUCGCCGAGUGUCGAGGUGGGCCGGCACGUUUACUUUGAACAAAUUAGAGUGCUUAAAGCAGGCCUGUUGCGCCUGAAUACUGUGUGCAUGGAAUAAUGGAAUAGGACCUCGGUUCUAUUUUGUUGGUUUUCGGAACCCGAGGUAAUGAUUAAUAGGGACAGGCGGGGGCAUUCGUAUUGCGACGUUAGAGGUGAAAUUCUUGGAUCGUCGCAAGACGGACCGAAGCGAAAGCAUUUGCCAAGUAUGUUUUCAUUAAUCAAGAACGAAAGUUAGAGGUUCGAAAGGCGAUCAGAUACCGCCCUAGUUCUAACCAUAAACGAUGCCAGCUAGCGAUCCGCCGAAGUUCCUCCGAUGACUCGGCGGGCAGCUCCCGGAAACCAAGCUUUUGGGUUCCGGGGAAGUAUGGUGCAAAGCUGAGACUUAAGGAAUUGACGGAAGG
rnacentral:rRNA from 1 species